GGUUAAGCGACUAAGCGUACACGGUGGAUGCCCUGGCAGUCAGAGGCGAUGAAGGACGUGCUAAUCUGCGAUAAGCGUCGGUAAGGUGAUAUGAACCGUUAUAACCGGCGAUUUCCGAAUGGGGAAACCCAGUGUGUUUCGACACACUAUCAUUAACUGAAUCCAUAGGUUAAUGAGGCGAACCGGGGGAACUGAAACAUCUAAGUACCCCGAGGAAAAGAAAUCAACCGAGAUUCCCCCAGUAGCGGCGAGCGAACGGGGAGCAGCCCAGAGCCUGAAUCAGUGUGUGUGUUAGUGGAAGCGUCUGGAAAGGCGCGCGAUACAGGGUGACAGCCCCGUACACAAAAAUGCACAUGCUGUGAGCUCGAUGAGUAGGGCGGGACACGUGGUAUCCUGUCUGAAUAUGGGGGGACCAUCCUCCAAGGCUAAAUACUCCUGACUGACCGAUAGUGAACCAGUACCGUGAGGGAAAGGCGAAAAGAACCCCGGCGAGGGGAGUGAAAAAGAACCUGAAACCGUGUACGUACAAGCAGUGGGAGCACGCUUAGGCGUGUGACUGCGUACCUUUUGUAUAAUGGGUCAGCGACUUAUAUUCUGUAGCAAGGUUAACCGAAUAGGGGAGCCGAAGGGAAACCGAGUCUUAACUGGGCGUUAAGUUGCAGGGUAUAGACCCGAAACCCGGUGAUCUAGCCAUGGGCAGGUUGAAGGUUGGGUAACACUAACUGGAGGACCGAACCGACUAAUGUUGAAAAAUUAGCGGAUGACUUGUGGCUGGGGGUGAAAGGCCAAUCAAACCGGGAGAUAGCUGGUUCUCCCCGAAAGCUAUUUAGGUAGCGCCUCGUGAAUUCAUCUCCGGGGGUAGAGCACUGUUUCGGCAAGGGGGUCAUCCCGACUUACCAACCCGAUGCAAACUGCGAAUACCGGAGAAUGUUAUCACGGGAGACACACGGCGGGUGCUAACGUCCGUCGUGAAGAGGGAAACAACCCAGACCGCCAGCUAAGGUCCCAAAGUCAUGGUUAAGUGGGAAACGAUGUGGGAAGGCCCAGACAGCCAGGAUGUUGGCUUAGAAGCAGCCAUCAUUUAAAGAAAGCGUAAUAGCUCACUGGUCGAGUCGGCCUGCGCGGAAGAUGUAACGGGGCUAAACCAUGCACCGAAGCUGCGGCAGCGACGCUGAUGCGUUGUUGGGUAGGGGAGCGUUCUGUAAGCCUGUGAAGGUGUGCUGUGAGGCAUGCUGGAGGUAUCAGAAGUGCGAAUGCUGACAUAAGUAACGAUAAAGCGGGUGAAAAGCCCGCUCGCCGGAAGACCAAGGGUUCCUGUCCAACGUUAAUCGGGGCAGGGUGAGUCGACCCCUAAGGCGAGGCCGAAAGGCGUAGUCGAUGGGAAACAGGUUAAUAUUCCUGUACUUGGUGUUACUGCGAAGGGGGGACGGAGAAGGCUAUGUUGGCCGGGCGACGGUUGUCCCGGUUUAAGCGUGUAGGCUGGUUUUCCAGGCAAAUCCGGAAAAUCAAGGCUGAGGCGUGAUGACGAGGCACUACGGUGCUGAAGCAACAAAUGCCCUGCUUCCAGGAAAAGCCUCUAAGCAUCAGGUAACAUCAAAUCGUACCCCAAACCGACACAGGUGGUCAGGUAGAGAAUACCAAGGCGCUUGAGAGAACUCGGGUGAAGGAACUAGGCAAAAUGGUGCCGUAACUUCGGGAGAAGGCACGCUGAUAUGUAGGUGAAGUCCCUCGCGGAUGGAGCUGAAAUCAGUCGAAGAUACCAGCUGGCUGCAACUGUUUAUUAAAAACACAGCACUGUGCAAACACGAAAGUGGACGUAUACGGUGUGACGCCUGCCCGGUGCCGGAAGGUUAAUUGAUGGGGUCAGCGCAAGCGAAGCUCUUGAUCGAAGCCCCGGUAAACGGCGGCCGUAACUAUAACGGUCCUAAGGUAGCGAAAUUCCUUGUCGGGUAAGUUCCGACCUGCACGAAUGGCGUAAUGAUGGCCAGGCUGUCUCCACCCGAGACUCAGUGAAAUUGAACUCGCUGUGAAGAUGCAGUGUACCCGCGGCAAGACGGAAAGACCCCGUGAACCUUUACUAUAGCUUGACACUGAACAUUGAGCCUUGAUGUGUAGGAUAGGUGGGAGGCUUUGAAGUGUGGACGCCAGUCUGCAUGGAGCCGACCUUGAAAUACCACCCUUUAAUGUUUGAUGUUCUAACGUUGACCCGUGAUCCGGGUUGCGGACAGUGUCUGGUGGGUAGUUUGACUGGGGCGGUCUCCUCCUAAAGAGUAACGGAGGAGCACGAAGGUUGGCUAAUCCUGGUCGGACAUCAGGAGGUUAGUGCAAUGGCAUAAGCCAGCUUGACUGCGAGCGUGACGGCGCGAGCAGGUGCGAAAGCAGGUCAUAGUGAUCCGGUGGUUCUGAAUGGAAGGGCCAUCGCUCAACGGAUAAAAGGUACUCCGGGGAUAACAGGCUGAUACCGCCCAAGAGUUCAUAUCGACGGCGGUGUUUGGCACCUCGAUGUCGGCUCAUCACAUCCUGGGGCUGAAGUAGGUCCCAAGGGUAUGGCUGUUCGCCAUUUAAAGUGGUACGCGAGCUGGGUUUAGAACGUCGUGAGACAGUUCGGUCCCUAUCUGCCGUGGGCGCUGGAGAACUGAGGGGGGCUGCUCCUAGUACGAGAGGACCGGAGUGGACGCAUCACUGGUGUUCGGGUUGUCAUGCCAAUGGCACUGCCCGGUAGCUAAAUGCGGAAGAGAUAAGUGCUGAAAGCAUCUAAGCACGAAACUUGCCCCGAGAUGAGUUCUCCCUGACUCCUUGAGAGUCCUGAAGGAACGUUGAAGACGACGACGUUGAUAGGCCGGGUGUGUAAGCGCAGCGAUGCGUUGAGCUAACCGGUACUAAUGAACCGUGAGGCUUAACCUU
rnacentral:rRNA from 1 species